CUCAGGAGAGAGAGGGGAGUGAGGUGGGGUACCUGUACCAGACAGGGGGAGAGAGGCCACGGCAGACGGUGAACAGAGAGAGGGUGAGUGUGGUGGAGGUACCUGUACCAGACAGGGGGAGACAGACCAGGGAGAGAGGGGUGAGUGUGGUGGAGGUACCUGUACCAGACAGGGGAAGACAGGCCAGGGAGAGAGGGUUGAGUGUGGUUGGGGUACCUCUACCAGACAGGGGAGACUGAACAGGGAGAGAGGGGUGAGUGUAGUAGGGGUACCUGUACCAGACAGGCCAGGGAGAGAGGAGUGAGUGUGGUGGGGGUACCUGUACCAGACAGGGGGAGACAGGCCAGGGAGAGAGGGGUGAAUGUGGUGGAGGUACCUGUACCAGACAGGGGGAGACAGACCAGGGAGAGAGGGGUGAGUGUGGUGGGGGUACCCUUACCAGACAGGGGAGACAGACCAGGGAGAGAGGGGUGAGUGUGGUGGGUGUACCUGUACCAGACAGGGGGAGACAGGCCAGGGAGAGAGGGGGAGUGUGGUGGGGGCACCAGUACCAGACAGGAGGAGACAGACCAGGGAGAGAGCGGUGAGUGUGUGGUGGAAGUACAGCAGUACAAAUGUCCGAGUUCACACACAGCUUUGUCUUUCUCCCUUAAUUGCUAUGGGUCUUGUCCCCACAUGCUUCAAGAUGGUCAAC
ensembl:lncRNA